CCGAUGGAGGGGGAUAACUACUGGAAACGGUAGCUAAUACCGCAUAACGUCGCAAGACCAAAGAGGGGGACCUUAGGGCCUCUUGCCAUCGGAUGUGCCCAGAUGGGAUUAGCUAGUAGGUGGGGUAAUGGCUCACCUAGGCGACGAUCCCUAGCUGGUCUGAGAGGAUGACCAGCCACACUGGAACUGAGACACGGUCCAG
rnacentral:rRNA from 1 species